AACGAACGCUGGCGGCAUGCCUAACACAUGCAAGUCGAACGAGACCUUCGGGUCUAGUGGCGCACGGGUGCGUAACGCGUGGGAAUCUGCCCUGGGGUGCGGAAUAACUCGGAGAAAUCCGUGCUAAUACCGCAUAAUGUCUUCGGACCAAAGAUUUAUCGCCCUGGGAUGAGCCCGCGUAGGAUUAGCUAGUUGGUGGGUAAAGGCCUACCAAGGCGACGAUCCUUAGCUGGUCUGAGAGGAUGAUCAGCCACACUGGGACUGAGACACGGCCCAGACUCCUACGGGAGGCAGCAGUGGGAAUAUUGGACAAUGGGCGAAAGCCUGAUCCAGCAAUGCCGCGUGAGUGAUGAAGGCCCUAGGGUUGUAAAGCUCUUUUACCCGGGAUGAUAAUGACGGUACCGGGAGAAUAAGCUCCGGCUAACUCCGUGCCAGCAGCCGCGGUAAU
rnacentral:rRNA from 1 species